AGCGCAACGAAGGCUGAUGGGAAAAAUCUUUUUCAUUCAGUUAAACCAGCAUAUGAAAUGGAUGAGUCUCAUCCAGACUGGACUCCAGCCCUGCACCUGGGUCACUCUGAAGACACAGCCACAGUGUCAGAUCGGCUUGCCCUCACACAGCAUAGAUAUCAUUUGAGGGAAUCUGAGGGAGGAGGCCACAUUGAACAAAACAUCAUGAACAAAGAUCAGAGAGACGACGUACAAGAAGAUGCAGCAGAAGAAGAGGGAUAUAGGGAUCAAGCAGAGGCAGGGGCUGCAGAAGAAGAGCAUGGGGAUCAAGCAGAGGCAGCUGUGGUAGAAGAGGAAUACAGGGAAACGACAGAAACAGACGAAAUAACGGAUAAGAGACUAAGAGCAGAAUGCCAGUUCUGUGAGCAAAGCAGUGCAGAAGUAACCCGCCUUUUGCAGGAAAAUAGGGAGCUUAGGUCUGAGUUAAACAAACAGAAGAUGGAUGAAGAGUUUUUCAAAGAUAAUACAGAAAAAGUACAAUAUUAUACAGGACUUCCAUGUUUUGCAGUUUUGUUUUCAAUGUUUACUACUGUUAAGCCCUUCCUGCCAGUUGCAAAGAAGCUGUCACAAUUUCAAAUGGUUUUACUGACACUCAUUCGUCUAAGGCUUGAUCUUCCAAUCCAGCAUCUUUCACACAUUUUUAAUGUGUCACAUAGAACUCUUUCUGCUACCUUUGCUGACACCAUAGAUGUGCUGUAUGCACACCUUACUCCCUUGUUGUACUGGCCUGAGCGACACUGUUUACAAGCCACAAUGCCACACAUCAAUUUUUGGAAACUUUUGGAAAGCGUGUACCGAUUAUUGUUGACUGUUUUGAAAUACGUACAGAGACCCCAUCAAAUUUAAUGGCAUGCACUCAAUCCUCUUCCCACUACAAAGGUAUACACACAAUAAAAUACUUGAUACACCCCAAGGCCUAAUUUCAUUUGUUUCAAAGGGAUGGGAGGGGCGAGCAUCUGACAAGCACAUAACUGAAAAUUGUGGACUUCUUAACAAACUGUUGCCUGGUGAUGUAGUGUUAGCAGACAGAGGCUUUGAUAUUAAAGGCAGAGUGGGAAUGAUGUGCGCGGAAGUUACAAUUCCUCCAUUCAAUAAACGCAGAUGUCAACUCGAUACUAAGGAUGAGGAAGACACACUUGCUAUAGCACACAUUAGGAUACAUGUAGAAAGGAUAAUAGGUAGCUUGCGCAGUAAGUACACACUAUUACAUAACACAAUACCAAUUAGUUUGUUGCUUCCCUGUAAGGAUGAAGAAUUUACCCUGCUUGAUAAGAUAGUUAAUGUUUGUUGUAUUCUAGUUAACAUGUGUCCAAGUGUUGUUGUAAGGCCAGAUGAAACAGAAAAGAGUGCAUAUUAAAUGAUAAAAAGAUCCUUGGAGAAAUGUGGUGUUUGUGAGUGUGUGGUACCCUCCUGAUAUUGAAAAUGUUUGUAUUUGGUGUGUGUAUGUGUAUGUACUUUCUUUAGGAUGAACAUGGUAUGCUAUUUGUACAUUAAAUACUUCAGAUGAAAA